AGAGACGACUGCAUGAUUGACACGGCACACAUUCCGAUGACAAUUUGUUGAACCUAUAUCCAUCCAUUUUCAUUAUAUAACUAUUACAUAUCUGUGUACACUUGAUUUGAGAUCCAGUAGAAUCAACACAUGGAGAAAUCAUCACCGGAAAAGCUUAUACUGGUUACUCACGAAGCCGGCGGGAUUGCGUGUAUCACAAUCAACCGACCUCACUCCCUGAAUUCUCUCACUAAGUCAAUGUUGACCGAUCUUGCUCGGAUUUUCAAGUCUCUGGACGCAGAUGAUUCGGUUCGGGUCAUUAUACUCACCGGAUCGGGUCGAUCGUUCUGCUCCGGUAUUGACCUGACGGCGGCGGAAGACGUGUUUAAGGGUGACUUCAGGGAUAUGGAGAUUGAUCCGGUGUUCCAAAUGGAGCAAUGUAGGAAGCCAAUUAUUGGGGCUGUUGCUGGAUUUGCUGUUACUGGCGGUUUUGAGAUUUCUCUCGCUUGUGAUAUCUUGGUUGCCUCCAAAGAUGCUAAAUUUUUGGAUACUCAUGCUAGGUUUGGGAUAUUUCCUUCUUGGGGUCUAUCACAGAAACUAUCUCGAAUUAUUGGACCCAGCCGAGCUCGUGAAGUGUCCUUAACUGCAACACCUAUCAACGCAGAACAGGCUGAGAGAUGGGGCUUGGUAAAUUAUGUUGUUGACAGAAGUGAACUUUUGAACAAAGCUAGGCAAAUUGCAGAAGCCAUCAUCAAGAACAACCAAGACUUGGUUUUGAGGUACAAGGCAGUUAUCAAUGAUGGGUUCAAACAUGACUUGACCCGAGCCCUUGCUCUUGAGAAGGAGAGGGCUCACGAGUAUUAUGAUGGAAUGGGCAAAGAUUACUUUAAGAAAAUGCAAGAGUUCAUUGCAGGACGGAAUACAAGCAAACCUUCAUCAAAAUUAUAGAUUUAUCACGUGUAAUUUAUUUUCUGCUUUUGACAUAAACUAGUCUCGAGCAGUUUUUUUGGUCAAAAAGUGAAAUAAAAAUGAAAUGUUGCUCCAAUUAUUCUCAUUUUACACUACAAUGGUUUAAUAGAGCACUAAGUUAAAGAUGUUAUUUUAACUUCAGUUGAGUGGUGUGGUGUUGAUGUUAGCAAGCGACAAUCAUAAU
rnacentral:misc_RNA from 1 species